UUUAUGACGUUUAAUUUUCGCCUGCGCCAAGUAUGUGGUAGUAUUCGUACAGUGUGGGCUCUGUUUCGGCCAUUUUGUUCGCAACGCAAAAAGUGUUGUGCUUCGUUUGCCUCCGCGUCCUUUUGAAUAAAGCAGCACCUUAUAGAAGCAGAAAAAUUCGUCGAAAGUACGACCACCUCAGCUGGCCGGAUUGACGGGGAUUCGGAAGUAUCGGACCAGGAUCCAGGAAAUUCACGUGAACUGAGUUUCAACGGCCAAUGUCGUAUCACUUAAAGGUUAUAUGUGAAUCAAAUAGCUUCUACGAGAUUGUCAAAUGUCAGGAAUCAUGUAAUGUAAUAUAAUUUUAUCUUGUAAGGACGCCAUUGUAGAAAAGCAAAAGGCAAGCGAAAGUCCAAAUCGUUGGCAUUGCAGAGAAAAUCUACGAUUUGGCUUCAUUAAAAAUAAAUGCUGCUGCGAUUCGACUGGAAACGAGGAAAUAUCGCCUAAACAAAUAUCGAAGAAACCAAAAUAGAAUAUGGAAGAUCUAUACAAAUUAAUUGACGAAGGGACACAAAAACAACUUACAGGAAAUUCACGUGAACUGAGUUUCAACGGCCAAUGUCGUAUCACUUAAAGGUUAUAUGUGAAUCAAAUAGCUUCUACGAGAUUGUCAAAUGUCAGGAAUCAUGUAAUGUAAUAUAAUUUUAUCUUGUAAGGACGCCAUUGUAGAAAAGCAAAAGGCAAGCGAAAGUCCAAAUCGUUGGCAUUGCAGAGAAAAUCUACGAUUUGGCUUCAUUAAAAAUAAAUGCUGCUGCGAUUCGACUGGAAACGAGGAAAUAUCGCCUAAACAAAUAUCGAAGAAACCAAAAUAGAAUAUGGAAGAUCUAUACAAAUUAAUUGACGAAGGGACACAAAAACAACUUACAGAAUAUAUUCGCGGAGCACUGGUUGUUUUACGAGAAAUGGUCGUACGAGGAUGUAAGCGGACGAAGGAGGAUGAAUCAAUGAGUGUAUUGGAAAUUCAAGCAGCACCACUAAUUCGCUGGAUAAAGCCGACUGCCCAACCUAACCACUUGAGUGCGGGUUUGUUCCCUUCGCACAUUGCGUGUUUCGGCGAAGCAAAAAAAGGGGUUCGUACUACGUUGUCCAUGGAUUUGAAAACAUUUGCUGUGGAAAUGAUGCUGUAAAAGCAUUGGACGUUUUAUUUAAAAGCUUUUCUGCUUUUAAUAUAAAAGUGCCAGCACUGUUGGCGAAUUUAAAAGAAUUUUUUGAUAUACAGAUAUAUUUAUUAGAAAAAACUAGUCUACAAAAAGCAGUUAAUAACAUAGUUAAGAUUUUUGAAACGGUUGAAGAAGCCGAGCGACUUCACAACGCAAGCGGACCAAGUCGCGGCAGCAGCAUGACUUAACAAAAUCCUUAGUUGAUACACAGAGAAGGAAUAAUCUGGAAAUAUCUUGUACUACCGAAAAUAUCCAAAAAUACA